GCUCCUUGGUGAUUCAUAAUAACUAAACGAAUCGCAUGGCCUUGCGCCGGCGAUGGUUCAUUCAAAUUUCUGCCCUAUCAACUUUCGAUGGUAAGAUAGAGGCUUACCAUGGUCUUAACGGGUAACGGGGAAUUAGGGUUCUAUUCCGGAGAGGGAGCCUGAGAAACGGCUACCACAUCCAAGGAAGGCAGCAGGCGCGCAAAUUACCCAAUGCUAAUUCAGCGAGGUAGUGACAAUAAAUACUGAUACGGGGCUCUUUCGGGUCUCGUAAUUGGAAUGAGUACAAUCUAAAUCCCUUAACGAGGAACAAUUGGAGGGCAAGUCUGGUGCCAGCAGCCGCGGUAAUUCCAGCUCCAAUAGCGUAUAUUAAAGUUGUUGCCGUUAAAAAGCUCGUAGUUGAACCUUGGACCUGGCUGAUCUGUCCUCCUAAUCGGGCGCACGGAUUCGGUCGGGUCUUUCCUUCUGGGGAGCCCUAUGCCCUUCACUGGGUGUAGUGGGGAACCAGGACUUUUACCUUGAAAAAAUUAGAGUGUUCAAAGCAGGCCUUUGCUCGAAUACAUUAGCAUGGAAUAAUAGAAUAGGACAUCGGUUCUAUUUUGUUGGUUUCUAGGACCGCUGUAAUGAUUAAUAGGGAUAGUCGGGGGCGUCAGUAUUCAAUUGUCAGAGGUGAAAUUCUUGGAUUUAUUGAAGACUAACUACUGCGAAAGCAUUCGCCAAGGAUGUUUUCAUUAAUCAGUGAACGAAAGUUAGGGGAUCGAAGACGAUCAGAUACCGUCGUAGUCUUAACCAUAAACUAUGCCGACUAGGGAUCGGACGGUGGUUUUUUUAUGCCCCGUUCGGCACCUUACGAGAAAUCAAAGUUUUUGGGCUCGGGG
rnacentral:rRNA from 1 species